UAAUACGUAGGGAGCGAGCGUUGUCCGGAUUUAUUGGGCGUAAAGAGCUCGUAGGCGGUUUGGUAAGUCGGGUGUGAAAGCUCCGGGCUCAACUCGGAGAGGUCACUCGAUACUGCCAUGACUGGAGUCCGGUAGGGGGGUGUGGAAUUCCCAGUGUAGCGGUGAAAUGCGCAGAUAUUGGGAGGAACACCAAUGGCGAAGGCAGCACCCUGGGCCGGUACUGACGCUGAGGAGCGAAAGCGUGGGGAGCAAACAGGAUUAGAUACCCUGGUAGUCCACGCCGUAAACGUUGGGCACUAGGUGUGGGUCUCUAUCAACGGGAUCCGUGCCGUAGCUAACGCAUUAAGUGCCCCGCCUGGGGAGUACGGCCGCAAGGCUA
rnacentral:rRNA from 1 species